UUAAUAUCGCUGAGGAGAAGGUGAGAACCUUCGAUAAGGUUCGAGUCGAGCAAUGCGAGACAACGUUGCCAUCGGCAACGGCCCGAAGGGCGAAUCGCGCAGCGAUGAGUCAUCCUUCUCCCACCACCA
rnacentral:sRNA from 1 species